CUCGUCUCUUCCUCUCCACGAGCUGGCGCCGCCAUGGGGAUUUCACCAGACGGAACAAUGUUCGUCGCCCGAUUCAGCCGCUACAGCCUGCCGGCAGGGGAGCUACAUCCCGUAUAGGUCAACAUCUUGCUGGGGAUUUACAGCUUGGGUGGAUGCGGUUGCUUUGGGUCAACUCCGGCGCGACCGCGCGAGGCCACCAACGCCGAUCUGCCUCCUCGCAUUCUCUGUUGGAAUCAUCCCUCAUGCCAAGCAACUUUACUAGAUGGGUCAAAUUAAAGGAAUGGUGUUGUUCAGCAAAAA